AUUGAACGCUGGCGGCAGGCUUAACACAUGCAAGUCGAGCGGGGGAAGGUAGCUUGCUACCGGACCUAGCGGCGGACGGGUGAGUAAUGCUUAGGAAUCUGCCUAUUAGUGGGGGACAACAUCUCGAAAGGGAUGCUAAUACCGCAUACGUCCUACGGGAGAAAGCAGGGGAUCUUCGGACCUUGCGCUAAUAGAUGAGCCUAAGUCAGAUUAGCUAGUUGGUGGGGUAAAGGCCUACCAAGGCGACGAUCUGUAGCGGGUCUGAGAGGAUGAUCCGCCACACUGGGACUGGGACACGGCCCAGACUCCUACGGGAGGCAGCAGUGGGGAAUAUUGGACAAUGGGGGGAACCCUGAUCCAGCCAGGCCGCGUGUGUGAGGAAGGCCUUAUGGUUGUAAAGCACUUUAAGCGAGGAGGAGGCUACUUUAGUUAAUACCUAGAGAUAGUGGACGUUACUCGCAGAAUAAGCACCGGCUAACUCUGUGCCAGCAGCCGCCGUAA
rnacentral:rRNA from 1 species